rnacentral:rRNA from 1 species
GAGUUUGAUCCUGGCUCAGAUUGAACGCUGGCGGCAUGCUUUACACAUGCAAGUCGAACGGCAGCACGGGUGCUCGCACCUGGUGGCGAGUGGCGAACGGGUGAGUAAUGCAUCGGAACGUGCCUAUUAGUGGGGGAUAACGCUUCGAAAGGAGUGCUAAUACCGCAUAAUCUCUGAGGAGGAAAGCAGGGGACCUUCGGGCCUUGCGCUGAUAGAGCGGCCGAUGUCUGAUUAGCUAGUUGGUGAGGUAAAGGCUCACCAAGGCGACGAUCCGUAGCGGGUCUGAGAGGAUGAUCCGCCACACUGGGACUGAGACACGGCCCAGACUCCUACGGGAGGCAGCAGUGGGGAAUUUUGGACAAUGGGCGCAAGCCUGAUCCAGCCAUGCCGCGUGAGUGAAGAAGGCCUUCGGGUUGUAAAGCUCUUUUGUCCGGGAGCAAGUCCUACUGGCUAAUAUCUGGUGGGGAUGAGAGUACUGGAAGAAUAAGCACCGGCUAACUACGUGCCAGCAGCCGCGGUAAUACGUAGGGUGCGAGCGUUAAUCGGAAUUACUGGGCGUAAAGGGUGCGCAGGCGGUUUUGUAAGCCAGAUGUGAAAUCCCCGGGCUUAACCUGGGAACUGCGUUUGGAACUACAAGGCUAGAGUGUGUCAGAGGGGGGUAGAAUUCCACGUGUAGCAGUGAAAUGCGUAGAGAUGUGGAGGAAUACCGAUGGCGAAGGCAGCCCCCUGGGAUAACACUGACGCUCAUGCACGAAAGCGUGGGGAGCAGACAGGACUAGAUACCCUGGUAGUCCACGCCCUAAACGAUGUCUACUAGUUGUUGGGAGAGGAAUCUCUUGGUAACGCAGCUAACGCGAGAAGUAGACCGCCUGGGGAGUACGGUCGCAAGAUUAAAACUCAAAGGAAUUGACGGGGGCCCGCACAAGCGGUGGAUGAUGUGGAUUAAUUCGAUGCAACGCGAAAAACCUUACCUGGUCUUGACAUGUAACGAAGCCUCCAGAGACGGAGGUCUGCCCGAAAGGGAGCGUUAACACAGGUGCUGCAGGGCUGUCGUCAGCUCGUGUCGUGAGAUGUUGGGUUAAGUCCCGCAACGAGCGCAACCCUUGCCAUUAGUUGCCAUCAUUAAGUUGGGCACUUUAAUGGGACUGCCGGUGACAAACCGGAGGAAGGUGGGGAUGACGUCAAGUCCUCAUGGCCCUUAUGACCAGGGCUUCACACGUCAUACAAUGGUCGGUACAGAGGGUUGCCAAACCGCAAGGUGGAGCUAAUCUCAGAAAACCGAUCGUAGUCCGGAUCGCAGUCUGCAACUCGACUGCGUGAAGUCGGAAUCGCUAGUAAUCGCGGAUCAGCAUGUCGCGGUGAAUACGUUCCCGGGCCUUGUACACACCGCCCGUCACACCAUGGGAGUGGGGGAUACCAGAAGUGGGUAGGCUAACCGCAAGGAGGCCGCUUACCACGGUAUGCUUCAUGACUGGGGUGAAGUCGUAACAAGGUA